rnacentral:rRNA from 1 species
AGAGUGGCGAACGGGUGAGUAACACGUAGGUGACCUACCCUGGAGAGGGGAAUAACCACUGGAAACGGUGGCUAAUGCCCCAUGCGCUCGUGGAUUCGUUUUCACGAGUAAAGGUUCCGGCGCUCCGGGAGGGGCCUGCGGCCCAUCAGGUAGUUGGUAGGGUAACGGCCUACCAAGCCGAUGACGGGUAGGGGGUGUGAGAGCGCGAUCCCCCACACUGGCACUGAGACACGGGCCAGACUCCUACGGGAGGCAGCAGUGAGGAAUAUUGCCCAAUGGACGCAAGUCUGAGGCAGCAACGCCGCGUGCGCGAUGAAGGCCUUCGGGUUGUAAAGCGCUUUUCUGGGGGAAGAGGAAGGACGGUACCUCAGGAAUAAGUCACGGCUAACUACGUGCCAGCAGCCGCGGUAAUACGUAGGUGGCGAGCGUUAUCCGGAAUUACUGGGCGUAAAGCGCGUGCAGGCGGUUCGGUAAGUUGGACGUGAAAGCUCCUGGCUUAACUGGGAGAGGCCGUUCGACACUGCCGGACUUGAGGUUGGGAGAGGGACGUGGAAUUCCCGGUGUAGUGGUGGAAUGCGUAGAUAUCGGGAGGAACACCAGUGGCGAAGGCGGCGUCCUGGCCCACACCUGACGCUGAGACGCGAAAGCGUGGGGAGCGAACGGGAUUAGAUACCCCGGUAGUCCACGCUGUAACGGUGGAUACUAGGUGUUGGUGGCUAUCGUC